UGAUUAUCGUUCGUGCAAAUGGUGGCGCUGUUUGGAAAAUUUGAAAACAACACGAUUGGCAUUUUAUAUGGAUUUCGAAGAUCCUAGUCCUGGCUGAAAUUUAGAGUAUUGCAGCUGUAGCCUGUAUACCAUACAUUCAACAUGAAAAGGACUGUCAGGAUGCUGCAUAAAAUGGUCUUAGCUAUAGCCUAGAAUGUUAAUUUCUUGGGAAUAUGCUGCAAGGAACUGACGGGGAGCAGUUUUUCUUACCAAUCAUAGAAGCAGUAAGAGACAGCCAAAGAAGUACUCAAACACUUGUCAUACCCAGAAAGAUCUAGAAGAAAAGAUUUUAACAGAUUGUAGCUUAAUUGUUAAAACUAUUAAAGUGAAUUUAAGCUGCACUUGAACUGUAUUUUUGAAAUAAAAUAUCUGAAGUAUUUAAUAUUGUCUUGAUAUUUUGUUAAACUUGGUUACUUUGCUUUAUAUCCAAAUAUUAAAGUAUGGUGGGUUUUCAACGUUGAAAUGACAUUGAAACUUCAACGUUGUGCCAACGUUGAAGCUGCAACGUUGUAUCAACGUUGAAAUUUCAACGUUGUUUCAACUUUCAAAUCCGAAUAUAAAUCCAACCUUAUUUCAACGUUGAAAUCUGACUAUAAUUCAACGUUGAAACAACGUUGA